GGGGGUGUAGCUCAGUUGGUUAGAGCGUCGGCUUGUCACGCCGAAGGUCGCGGGUUCGAGUCCCGUCACUCCCGCCA
rnacentral:tRNA from 2 species